ACCCAGGUGGCUCAGAUGGUAGAGAAUCUGCCUACAGUGCACAAGACCCAGGUUCGAUCCCUGGAUCGGGAA
rnacentral:tRNA from 1 species